GGCUUCUGAGUGGAGGGGAGGCAUCAAGUUAGAUGGAAUACGUUGUUGGGGUGGAGGCUGUUCGCCUCAGAGGUGCAGGAUCUGGGGCUGAAAAGAAAAACAAGCAGUAACAUUACCGGAGCUUGGGGCCGGGACCUGCCAACUCCUAUAUCACUUUUAAAAUUGCUCUUAAGCGGCUAUAUGGCCCAGCCUACCACUUGAUUCCUGUAAAGUGAGCUUGCUCAGCAGGGGCAGCUGUGGGCAUCUUGAAGAACUGCUGGCAUGGAGGGCUUGAGGAAGAGGCAGGAAGGAGCCCAUUUUCAGGGAAUGGGCUGGAGGGAGCGCUUACAGAGCAGAAAUCAGUGGCAGCUCCAACAGAGAGGCCCUGGGGGUGGGAAAAGUGGAAAUGCGACGAACUUCAAUCAAUUAACACGGACAAACUCCAAGAUUAUAUUACAUGAGGACCAGGGAGGGUGUUGUGGUGUAGCAGGCUUGGGGGAGGGCUUGACGGGAAGAGGGUAGGGCAGUGCUCCAGGUCACCCAGCACCAGUCAUCUCCUUAGCUUUUUGCUAAGAGUCCUCAGCUAUCCUUUGAGAAAACAUUAUCUGACCAUGGAAUCUUGUUUGUCAGCGAAAUGGAGAAAGAGGGGAAGUUUGGGCCUUAGCAGGUUCCCUAUUAAGUGCCUCAGAGAAAUAAUCUUUCUUUCACAGAUUAAACCAGAGUGCAGGAAAAUCUUUGUGUCUGACCCAGACAUGAGUGUUUGCAUAUUAGUUUUUUCAUCACAAGCCUCCAGAAAGGAGCUCUCUUCACCCCAAUAUUCUCUCUAACCCAGAGGUGAUAAGAAACUGCCUCAUGACAACCUUCCUGGGGAGAAAGUGAGGGGCGUGGGGGUGGUCUUUUGAAGUAGGCUUCCAUCCUCUGGUUCUGGGAUGAUCACAAGGCAUCAGGCCAGGACUCAGCUUAGCUGUGGUUCAAGACUUUGCCUGUGUGGCUUCUGUGGAAACAUACAAGGUCACCAAGGUGACGCUGUCCCCUUGUAGUCAAUACCUGAUUUUCCAACUUGAGAGAGAUUCCCUGAUGGCCUCUUUCAUCUCUGGGUCUCUGCAGCCCAGCACUGAGCUGGCACCUGGUUGGUAUUGGCAGUGCAUCCUUACAGUAUCUUGAAGGCCCAAGCCAUAGGCCCGUGUAUAAGAUCCACAUCAGCAGCUGGAUGGGGAGGCACUGGGGAGCUGAUUGAAAUCACGUGAUGGACCCGAGGAGUUGGCUCAGCAUGAGAUUUAACUACUGGAGAAGGAGCCUGAGUGGGCCUCAUUUGCUCACACUUGUAGAUAACUUGGAUGUGCCUUUCAGGAAUGUAAGAGCCGGUAGGAUGUUCCCUUCCUGCUGGACUGUGAAGGAUUGCUGGGUUGACACUGGGUUAUCUACGAGCCUUAGCAGUAAAUCCCUCUUGCCCCAAGAUCAUCAUUGCUUUCAACUUUGGAAGGAGCAGGGCUUCUGGGGAGCCCAUCAGAGGCCUUGUAUUUACAUUCCUGGGCAGAGAAAUGCUUGAAUACGUGAGGAUCUACGUGCAGGGACAGCUGCUGCAAUGUUAAAAACGUCGUUCAAUACACAGCCCCUCCAUAGGAUAAGACACAAGGCAGCUUCACCGAGAGGGAGGGCGGCGCGUCGCUGAGGAGGAAACCGCGGUCCAUUCAUUGAAUCUGCUCUGCUCCUUCGGUGUGUGCACCUGGACCUCAUUUCUGUUUUUACAACAAACUUCCGUUUGUGUACAUGAAACUACAUGUGUUUGUGCUUGGAAAAAAGUCUGGAAGGACCCACACGUGCUCGAGCACUUUCCUCUGGAGGAUGGGAUUCAGAGUGGGCUCGGAGAGGAGUCACACUAUUUGACUCUCUGGGGUAUGAUUUGAAUACAUAUGUAUUCUGUGAUUUAAAAGGAAGAGGAAAGGUUGUAGGAUAUGGAAGGAUGAGGGAAUGUUGCACUAUGGGAGCUCAGAUUCAUUCGCCUCUAGGGAGCAAAGGCCAAUGGCCUGAGUGGAGGAGACAGGGUGGGGGUGGGCGGGCAAGACAUCUACGGAUGGCAAAGAUCUUUCCAGAAGUUUUCUGGAGAGUGGCUUUUUUGAAAGAGGAUGCUAGCUAAGAGGCAUGGUGGAGGUAAGGUCUUAGAGCUAAUUGGAGGGAGGUGGCAAGUUGGUGGGAAGAAGGGAGGGAGGUAAGAUCAGAAAUAAUUUCUUGGGACAUUGGGGUGAGGGAGACUCGGCUGGAGGUGAACCCAAGAGCCCAAGCGGAGGAAUUGUCCUAAAAGGGUGAGAAGGGUUCUGGGGGUGAGGGAGGGGAUUGGGGUGGAUAACCUGAGGUGGGAGGGCCAGGGAAGGGAGUUCAGAGUUGAUGACCCCGGUUCUUAUCAGGGAACUGAGUGGCUAUGUCAUGGAAAGGGACACGGCUGGGGCUGCGGACAAUGUUCUAAGGGUAAAGGUCUGGGAAAAAGUGUUCCUGAAUGGACUGCUCCCUGGCGGUGGAGGGGGGCCCAGCUGCCUGGUGGAUUACACCUCUGUGAUGGGAAAACCUGGCAGGCAGUUCUUUGUUUUUCUCUUGUUGGAACCCAAGUGCAAGACCAGAGAAAAUGAAAUUUCACAUGGUUCCCAGGCUAGGCACUGGCCCAGAGGGAAGGGAAGGGGAGGGCUUUCGAUGGACUGACCACAAGGCAGAGAAACAACAAGAACAGAACUGGAGACCUGGGAGCUGGGAAGGGCAGCUGUAGAGAUGAGCCCUGGAGAGAAGGGCUUCUACAGCUGGGCUUAGAAGGGCCUCUCUACAACCUAGGAUGGCCCCUUAAGUGAUGUCUGGGCUCAAGGUGUGGCUGUGGGGAUGGGUUGCCCAAGUGGAAAAGAGUGAGGACCAAGUCCCUCAGAAGCUGUUAAAAUCAUCACGGUGGGGGCAGUAUGAAAGCGAAAGUUGCUCAGUUGUGUCCAACUGUUUGAGACCCCAUGGGCUUUAUAUAUAGUCUAUAAUAUAGGUCAGAACCCUGGAGUGGAUAGCUGUUCCCUUCUCCAGGGAAUCUUCCCAACCCAGAGGUGGAACCCAGGUCUCCCACUUUGCA